GCACCAGCCACCACCCAAACCCUAGCCCCGUCUCCCCUCGAUCCCCACAGCCUCGCCCACCUCCUCCAUCCCUCCUCCUCGCCUCGCCACGGCCUCCGCCCCGGAGCCUCGCCGCCGCCUGCGAUUCCUCCCUCCUGCCCGCAGAGCCCAUUGGGCUAGCCAACCCUAGCCCCAAUCCACAUCCCCCGCGCCCCUCACUGGUCCCUCCUCCUCCUUCCCUCGUCCGCCGCCUCGCUCCCUCGCUCUCCUCCCUCGUCGCCGUGGCCUUCGGCCUAGGAGCCCCGCCGCCUACUGCUCCUCCUCCACCACCUCGCCUCUUUCUCCUCCUCGCCUUCCCAUCGCUCGCGCGCAUGUCACCGCCGUCGAAGAACACGGGAGUGCGGGUCUUCAAGUUGGGGUGGUCAGGAGGGCUUCCCAACCUGACGGCGCCUCCUCCUCCUCGCAGCGUCGUAGCGCGUGCACCUUCUUAUCCCCCCUCCUCCCUCCCUCGUCACUACUUCCACCAGUUCCCUCCCUUCCUCGUCUGUGGACGCUGCUGACCCCUCCUCCGGCCUCUGCGUCUCCGCCCAGGCGGCAAGGCCCCCAGCCCCCCUCGGGCCUCGGCCCCUCCGUACAGCCCGCUUCUGCCUCGUCCAACUCGCUGCUUAGCUCCCAAGAUAAUUUCAGUGGUGAUACCUGAUGCUCAGGCUCGGAGGGCAGCGGGCGCGGCAGGCUUGGCAGGCAGCGGGCGCGGUGGUCAAGGCCAGGGGCGCGGAUUGGGGAGAUGCGCACACGAGGAGCGACGGCGACCGUGUCUGCCGCCAACACUGAGGUGAGCUUCACCCAAUCUCUCUCUUACUCUCUCUGUGCGGCCUCCUCCCCUUGGCCCCUGAUUCAUUGAUGAGGUAUGCCAAUAUGCCAUGGUUGUGUGUUCGCAAACCCUUCCCUUUUAUCACUAUCAAAUAGUGUCAAACAGAGCAUCUUAUACUUUGUUUCUACGUGCAAAUCAGCUCUUCGUUCUUUCAAGCCCUAUGUUGCUUACUCAAAUGUUUGUGGCGAUUGUAUCCUUGUGCCAUGAAUAUUUGUACUUAGCAGAUCAAUAUGAACAUAUUGGUUAUCUAUUUACCAAUUCAGAAUUUAAAACACUUUAUUUUAUGGCCUUGAGUAAAAGUUCAGUCAUUGUUGGCUGGAAGACAUCUUCAAUACGCCGUCAACACGAGCUUCCCAAGGUAAUGAUCUAAGAGGAAGUGAGUUCGAGAUGAGAUGGGGACAGAAGAUCCUGCAGCGACGUUGUUUCUUGUUCUCCUGCUCAAGGUUUGCUCUUUCCUACUUACUGUCAUGGUGGUUGGUUCACUGCUCGUUUUAUUGUUUCGGAAUUAGCCGCCUGUCGUGUUUUGAUUUGCCUCGUGCUGCUUAUAUUUCGUGUUUGCGUGUGGGAAGGAUGUGUGCUAUAGAUUUUGUGUGUGCAUCCGAGAUACCUAGAAUGGUUGAGAACUGAAUGUGUUGCCCUAUUUAAUUGGCAUAUUCAACUUAAUUAAUACGCCUUUUAGCCGUGACUUCUGCCCAAACUUUUGAAAGUGCAGAUGAUCACGCUAUCGGGUAAUGGUGUUUUCUAUUGCAAUUUGUCAGCUAUACUACAUGCUGCCCCUGUUUCUUUUGCUCUGCUAAAAAUGUGUGCUUACUUUCAAUCUUAUUACAUCAAUAGACUUCCGGGCGUAUAGUAUUUCUGUAAUCUCUAUGCCUUACUGGUUUUGUGAUUUCAGCUCAGGUGGAUGAGCCCCGUCCUGUGUUAUUCCCCUUGGUUUCUGAAGCUCCCAGGAUUUAAUAAUGAAUUGUCUUGGGCUUCAUUGGACAAAUGAUCUACCUCGAGCAAUGAUGCAGUGUAGGUUGGCGUUGAAGCCUCAUGGCGUUUUUCUUGCAGCAAAUCUUGGCGGGAAGACUCUGAAGUGAUAAUCUUAAAUUUGCCAUUUACCGACAUUUUCCAGUUUCUUGUUUGACUUGCCUUUUCUUGGAUGCGAUGAUAAGGGAACUAAGAAUUGCGUGCACUAUUGCUCAAAUGGAACAUAAGGGAGGCAUCCGUCCUCGAAUGUUGCCUUUAGAACAAGUAUGAUUCCUUUAUAAUCUGAGAUUUUGCCCUUCCAGGAGUUGAUGUAGAUCGAUAUACAGUCAAAUACAAUACUGGCGUGUAUAAAAAAACUUGAAUUUUCCUGGGAUUGAACUUUGAACUAAUAAAUCUAGACUAUGGAGGUAAUGUGCUUUGCAUUAUUAUAGAUCGUAUAUGCUGCUCUUACUUAAUUAUACUUUUUAAUUACAUGCUGCCCCUGUUUCUUUUGUUGUGCUAAAAAUGGGUGCUUACUUUCAAUCUUAUCGCAUCAAUAGACUUGCGGGCGUAUAUUAUUUCUGUAAUCUCUGUGCCUUACCGAUUUUGUGAUUUCAGCUCAGGUGGAUGAGCCCCAUCCUGUGUUAUUCCCCUUGGUUUCUGAAGCUCCCAGGAUUUAAUAAUGAGGUGUCUUGGGCUUCAUUGGACAGAUGAUCUACCUCGAGCAAUGAUACAUUGUAGGUUGGUGUUGAAGUCUGAUGGCGUUUUUCUUGCAGCAAAUCUUGGCAGGAAGACUCUGAAGUGAUAAUCUUAAAUUUGCCAUUUACCGACAUUUUCCAGUUUCUUGUUUGACUUGCCUUUUCUUGGAUGCGAUGAUAAGGGAACUAAGAAUUGCGUGCACUAUUGCUCAAAUGGAACAUAAGGGAGGUAUCAGUCCUCAAAUGUUGCCUCUAGAACAAGUAUGAUUCCUUUAUAAUCGGAGAUUUUGCCCUUCCAAGAGUUGAUGUAGAUCGAUAUACAGUCAAGUACAAUACUGGCGUGUAUAAAAAAACUUGAAUUUUCCUGAGAUUGAACUUUGAACUAAUAAAUCUAGACUAUGGAGAAGUAACGCUCAAAAGCCUGAAUAGAAUUCCUUGGGAAAGGGUAGAUGUUAGCUUCAAGAGAAGUAGACAAUAGAUUUUUGCCCAUAGCACCAUUCAGGUAUGUUAUGAACCCCAUUACCUUGGUAAUAGUUUUCCUGGUGUUACUUAAUUAUCCCCUGGUAUAUUCUGUUGUCUCCAUACAUGUUAAUCUGAUAACAUAUACAAAGGUUGUGUAGGUAAUGGCAUAGCAGAUUUUAGUUUCAUGAUCUUACUUAAAUGUAGUUCUGGCGAUAGAUAGCUUUACACUAUCCGUCAUGUGCAUGGCUGUCGAAGUACAUCAUCGUUAUGAUGUGUAUGGUUUCUCUAUUUUCAGCCCUACUGCUCCUGAGCCCAAAUCCCAUGACCAUGCCCCCACCUCUCCUUUGUUGAAUGAAGGGAGUCUGGUUGCUAAAAAGUGAGUUUUCUUAAUCAGUAUGUAUGGCCCCUCUGCACAUGAUGUUUCUUCGUAUUUAUGAGGCCCUCAAGCUUUGUCAGUUUUCUAAUAGAUAUGGAAUUUUAAUUUGAUAGUCCCAACAACGAUGGGUAUUGAUGGAGCUAUCUAUUAUUUAUUGUCAAUCUGUAAUACUUUUGUCAGCUUCUAGCAUGUCGUUGCUCUGCCAGAGUGCAAUUUUCUCUGCAUGGCAUACACCAGUUACCAUUAGUUGAUAUGUUUGUUGAAGUUUUAUUGCAAGUUAAAUAAAUGUGUAGUGUGGCAUACUGAUUAUUAUAGUUUGAUAAUGUCAGGCGCCGAUGGCUUUAGAUAUGUAAAUAAAAUAUGGUGAUUGUCACCGGCAUGUAGUGUGGCAUACUAAUCAAAUGACUAAGCAUUUAAUUAUUGUUCUGUUAUGUUGUUGAUUUCACCGGCUUUAUGUCGGCUGAUUAGUUCUGAAGGAUUCCACAUCGGCUAAUUUAGAUUAUGUUACUAGAGUAUUACAAGAAGUUCCUGAUAUAUGUAUUUAGAGCAUUUGCUGAGAUUUGAUGCAAAAUAUUGAUGACCAGGCAUUAUACUGCGCAUAAGCACAAUUUUUUAGUUUUUCUUUUUAUUGUUGCAGCAACUUUUCUAUAGCAAUAGCCAAAUAGUGUGACAUAACACUAUUCCAUUUUCAUAGGCCAUAACACAUCUUUACAUGUAAGUUUGUUCUCUAGAUAGUUCUCUUUCCAAGAUUUUCAUAUCAUAUUUGUUGUGGGAUCUGACUGCUUUACCAUAUUUUCCUGGUGUGGACGAUGUUAUAGAGUGAGCUACCAUCACUUCUCAUUACUGACUGUAAUCAAUAUAUAUGUGUUUAUGCCAUAAAAGAUGGAUAUUUGUCGAAGCCGUUGUCGUGUCAUGUAAUUACCUGGAGAUCAGCUAUAUAGUUUUGUUCGGAUUGUAAAGUGGAAACGACAACUCCUGUGUGAUUGUCAUUUGAUUAUUUACUUCCUCAAGUAGUAUGGAUAUGGUGCUGCCAGGAUAUUAAGUAUAUUCAUGAAGUUGUAUAAACCACGUUCUACGAUUCACAUCUGUUAUGCAUAUAUACUUUCCAGUUUUAGGACUGAAAUCCAUCCAUUGUAAUGAACUUGGUUGUAUGGGCAUUACCUAUUUGACUUAGGCUUGCUUCAUCACAUAUAGACUGCUUUUCUUUUCCCCACUGCUUGUAUGACCUAAAACUAUCAUGUAUAUGAGGCAAGUUAUUAGCAAUGUUUCACAUUUUCGUACUUG